AAGUCGUAACAAGGUUUCCGUAGGUGAACCUGCGGAAGGAUCAUCAUUGAAUGUGAUUUAUUUUUUGUGUGGAAAAAAACAAUGACAUAUUUUACAAACAAAACCAAUGAGAAACAACUUUUAACAAUGGAUCUCUUGGCUCUC
rnacentral:misc_RNA from 1 species